rnacentral:rRNA from 1 species
CAACAGGGAUUGCCUCAGUAACUGCGAGUGAAGCGGCAAAAGCUCAAAUUUGAAAUCUGACGUCUUUGGCGUUCGAAUUGUAAUUUGGAGGGCAUUUUCGGAGCUGGCGUCGUCCUAAGUUCCUUGGAACAGGACGUCACAGAGGGUGAGAAUCCCGUGCCUGGAUGGAUGUCCAGCUCCAUGUGAGGUGUCUCCGACGAGUCGAGUUGUUUGGGAAUGCAGCUCAAAAUGGGUGGUAAAUUUCAUCUAAAGCUAAAUACUGGCGAGAGACCGAUAGCGCACAAGUAGAGUGAUCGAAAGAUGAAAAGCACUUUGAAAAGAGAGUUAAAAAGUACGUGAAAUUGUUGAAAGGGAAGCGCUUGAGACCAGACUCAACCUUCGGUGAUCAGCUGCGCUUCUGUGCGGUGCACUUGCCGUGGGUUGGGCCAGCAUCGGUUUUGACGGUGGGAUAAAGGUUCGAGGAAUGUGGCUCCCCGAUUCCGGGGAGUGUUAUAGCCCUGAGCGCAAUGCCACCUGUUGGGACCGAGGACCGCGCUUCCGCUAGGAUGCUGGCGCAAUGGUCU